rnacentral:tRNA from 1 species
GGCCCUGUGGCUCAAGGAGUAGGGCGCUGGCCCCGUGCCAGAGGUAGCGGGUUCAAACCCAGCCCUGGCCA